rnacentral:rRNA from 1 species
UACGUAGGGUGCAAGCGUUGUCCGGAAUCACUGGGCGUAAAGCGUGCGUAGGUGGCGUGUUAAGUGUGAUGUUAAAUCGUGGGGCUCAACCCUGUCGGUGCAUCACAUACUGGCAUGCUAGAGGACAGCAGAGGCAAGUGGAAUUUGUAGUGUAGCAGUGAAAUGCGUAGAUAUUACAAGGAACACCAAUGGCGAAGGCAGCUUGCUGGGCUACUCCUGACACUGAGGUACGAAAGCGUGGGGAGCGAACAGG